GCUGGGAUUACAGGCAUGUGCCACCACACCUGUCCAAUAUUGUUAUGCAAUAUUUUAAAAAUUCAGAUGAAGGCCAAAAUCCACAAAAAACAAAAUAUCAAAGAGAGGAUCCAACCCUGUAUACAAAUUUGCUUCUGCCACUUCUCCCUGGUCCUUUCUAGAUGGGGGCAGAGGGGAUAGCAGCUUCUCCCUCAUGUCUGUUCCAGCUUCAGGAAGUUGUGACUAGGUGGGUCUCAGCCUUCUACAGGGACCAGGUCUCUUCCUCCUGUCCCAGGACCUACCAGAGCCCCUUACCCACUCCAGGUCUGAGUCCUCAGCUCAGAGCCCUUUAUGUGCUUGGGACAGUGGGGCACAAUGGAGGGAGGGAGGGGUAUAUCCAGGCCUGUUUUCCUGGCACCCUUCACCUACCUGGCUCUUCCCCAGCUGGUGGCUGGCAUCAAGUACUACCUGACAGUGGAGAUGGAGAGCACAGCAUGCCGGAAGACCAGGGUCUCUGGAGACCAUGUGGACCUCACCACCUGCCCCCUGGCCACAGGGGUGCAGCAGGAGAAGCUGCACUGUGACUUUGAGAUCCUCGAAGUCCCUUGGAAGAACUCAGCUUUUCAAACAAGACUGUGUGCAGCUGUAGUAGGUUUGCAGGUGGGAGUGGUGGGCCCCCAAACAUUGCCAGAAACUCCCAAUAGUCUUAGAAAAGGGGUGGGGACAAAGAGAAGAGAGAUAACGUCCCAAGACUAGCCCCAAGAACAGUGUCUACUCAGAAGGGGAGUGCAUGCCCUGCUCCUCUCAGCACCUGGGAGAAGUUCAGGCAUGCAUGUGGGAGGUUCAGCCCACUGGGUCUUGGACACUGAGUUUUCUGUCCACUAACGUUCCUGUGCCUGUGUGUGGUCCAAAGUGGGUUGCCUGUCCUGCACAGCCACUGCUGUGCAGGCGAUGUCCUGGUCCCAUGGCCUCUUGGUCUACAACAUUUCUAGUACAAUUGAAUUUGUGGCUGUAGUACAUACGCAGACACAUACACUCACACCUACAACCCUCAACUCUACAGAUAUUCACACCCAUAAACCCACAGGACACACUCAGAUGUUCCCAGACACCAUAGACAUGCCCUGAAAAAACACUAGCGCCCACCUAGCAACCAACUAUCCAGCAACACAACCUAGCAACUCAGAAGCAAAGCAAACACAGAAGCAGCAUCCCAAGAUAGCCUAGAGAUGGGCCUGCAGACUCCCAACACUAGCCAGAGUCCCACAUCUCCACCUGGGGGUGUUCCUUGGAUGCACCAACUUGUACCCACACCCAGGACAGGAGGAAGUAACCUGGUACCUUGAGGCACUGGGUGUUUGCAGUGUGAGGCCCAGAUUGGCAGCACUGCGGGGGAGUGGGGAGCAGCCCAGAUGAUGGGUGACCCUCAAACAGUAUUGAACAAAUAAAGCAAAAUAUACAA